rnacentral:rRNA from 1 species
UGGGGAAUAUUGCACAAUGGGGGAAACCCUGAUGCAGCCAUGCCGCGUGUAUGAAGAAGGCCUUAGGUUGUAAAGUACUUUCGGUGAUGAGGAAGGUACUUGGUCUAAUAGGCCAAGUAAUUGACGUUAAUUACAGAAGAAGCACCGGGCUAACGUCCUGGCCAGUCAGCCGCGGUAAAUACGGAGGGUGCGAGCGUUAAUCGGAAUGACUGGGCGUAAAGGGCAUGUAGGCGGAUGAUUAAGUUAGGUGUGAAAUCCCCGAGCUCAACUUGGGAAUUGCAUUUAAAACUGGUCGUCUAGAGUAUUGUAGAGGAAGGUAGAAUUCCACGUGUAGCGGUGAAAUGCGUUUAGAGAUUGUGGAGGAAUACCC